CUACGGUGGGCUGCAGUGAGGAAUAUUGCGCAAUGGAGGCAACUCUGACGCAGCCAUGCCGCGUGAAGGAAGACGGCCCUACGGGUUGUAAACUUCUUUUCUUAGCUAAGAAUUAUUGCUACGUGUAGUGAUUUGACUAGCUUUGGAAUAAGCAUCGGCUAACUCCGUGCCAGGCAGCCGCGGUAAUACGGAGGAUGCAAGCGUUAUCCGGAUUCACUAGGUUUAAAGGGUGCGUAGGCGGGACAGUAAGUCAGUGGUGAAAUCUUGCGGCUUAACCGUAAAAUAGCCAUUGAUACUGUUGUCCUUGAGUUCGGGUGAGGUAGGCGGAAUGAGUAAUGUAGCGGUGAAAUGCUUAGAUAUUACUCAGAACACCGAUUGCGAAGGCAGCUUACUAAACCGAUACUGACGCUGAGUCACGAAAGCGUGGGGAGCGAACAGGAUUAGAUACCCCUGUAGUC
rnacentral:rRNA from 1 species